UGUUGGUUCUCCCGCAACGCUACUCUGUUCACCAGGUCAGGUCCGGAAGGAAGCAGCCAAGGCAGACGACGUGGGUGCCGGGAUGUAGC
rnacentral:SRP_RNA from 1 species